rnacentral:lncRNA from 1 species
GUCUGACGUCUGAUGUCGCUGCAGGUGUGACUGACUCACUCCUCAGGCCCUUCCCAGUGUGGAUGGUGAUUUUCUAUUAUGAGCCCCUAUUCUGGAGGUCUGCUGGUUGCAGCUCCUCGAGGCCUGGAGGCGUGCCUAGCUGACAUGCGUCAGGGAAGGCUGUCACAAAGGCACAUGUCCCAUCAGAGCGUAGCGGUCAUCACUGGACGACGGCGCAGACAUGGUCAUGACCUGCCGGCUCUCAGGUGCCAUGGUCAGGCACCCCUUCCUCUGUGCCUACAGCACCUUCCCUACACCUUCUAACACCACCAGCACUCUGUGAGUUCCUGGAGGGCAUAUAUCGGCUUUCCUCUCCAAGUAGGUAAUCAAUAGAUGGAUGGAUGGGUAGAUGAUGGACGGAUGGACGGAUGGAUGGGUAGAUGAUGGACAGGUGAAUGGAUGGAUGGGCAGAUGAUGGACGGAUGGACAGAUGGGUAAAUGAUGGAUGGAUGGAUGGAUGGGCAGAUGAUGGACAGAUGGAUGGAUGGACGGGCAGAUGAUGGACGGAUGGACAGAUGGGUAAAUGAUGGAUGGAUGGAUGGGCAGAUGAUGGACGGAUGGACGGAUGGAUGGGUAGAUGAUGGACAGAUGAAUGGAUGGAUGGGCAGAUGAUGGACGGAUGGACAGAUGGGUAAAUGAUGGAUGGAUGGAUGGAUGGGCAG